UACAGAGGGGGCAAGCGUUAUUCGGAAUUAUUGGGCGUAAAGGGCGCGUAGGCGGCCACCGCAAGUCGACUGUGAAAUCUCCGGGCUUAACCCGGAAAGGUCAGCCGAUACUGCGGGGCUAGAGUGCAGAAGGGGCAACUGGAAUUCUCGGUGUAGCGGUGAAAUGCGUAAAUAUCGAGAGGAACACCUGCGGCGAAGGCGGGUUGCUGGGCUGACACUGACGCUGAUGCGCGAAAGCUAGGGGAGCGAACGGG
rnacentral:rRNA from 1 species